GAAGUUUGAUUAUGGCUCAGAGUGAACGCUGGCGGCGUGCCUAAUACAUGCAAGUCGAACGGAGAUUAAAGUAAGCUUGCUUAUUUUAAUCUUAGUGGCGCACGGGUGAGUAAUGUAUAGCUAAUCUGCCCUACACUAGAGGACAACAGUUGGAAACGACUGCUAAUACUCUAUACUCCUUCUUUACAUAAGUUAAGUCGGGAAAGUUUUUCGGUGUAGGAUGAGGCUAUAUCGUAUCAGCUAGUUGGUGAGGUAAUGGCUCACCAAGGCUAUGACGCGUAACUGGUCUGAGAGGAUGAUCAGUCACACUGGAACUGAGACACGGUCCAGACUCCUACGGGAGGCAGCAGUAGGGAAUAUUGCUCAAUGGGGGAAACCCUGAAGCAGCAACGCCGCGUGGAGGAUGACACUUUUCGGAAGCGUAAACUCCUCUUCUUGGGAAAGAAUUA
rnacentral:rRNA from 1 species